AUGUGUUUGUGCUCCAAAGGACUUGUGACUCCAUUUUCUGCCCUGGAAGACUUUUACCUUCACACACAGAUCAUUCUCCUGCUUCCCUUCACACACAGAUCACUUUCCUGGGUGUUCAUGACACAAAAGGAAUCUUGUUUUUCCCCUUCUGUCUUACCCCUGUCCACAGAAAUGCAGGACCCUCCACAAGGUGCCUCAGCUCAUCCCAGUGGCUGCCACAGAGCCCUGCCAAGAAAACCUGCAGUGGGAAGCAUCCAGCAGCCCUGCUGGGGCUCAGCAAGGAAUGAGAUGCUGCUCCCAAUCCCCCUGGAUCACUGGGAAGGAGCUGAUUUCUGUCAGGUUACUCCAGUAUGUCCAUGGAGCUCCUGAUGCCUGUUCCUAGCUGGAUGCAGCUCCCAAGCCACCUCCUCUGAGGGAAUGUGGAGGUGUAGAUGCCGCUGUGGGGUUCUUGAUGAGCCUUUUGUCACUAAUGCAGGUUUCUGACAGAGAUACUCAGUGCUGAUCACACCAAAUUUUGCAGCAGACCUCAUUUAAAACCUCACUCCCAAGGCACUGGGAGCUGCAACCCUGGGCAUGGAUCUGGACUGCCUGAAAUGCCUUCAUGGAUUGGACUGGAUAAUCUUUAAAGGUCCUUUCCAGCCCAAAUUGUUGUCUAAUUUUAUUAAAUAGUCACUGUUUGAUGGGUUGGACUGGAUGAUUUUUGAAGGUCCCUUGCAACCCAAACCGUUCAGUGAUUUCUAUGAAACACUCAGUGUGUGACCUCUCUGUGUGCCAGAAAUGCUGGUUUGGGAUGGAGAAUGGCCACGCUCAGGGGAAGAGGGAGGGAUGUGGAAUCACAGGAUCACUGAGCUGGAAAGGACCCACAAGGAUCACAAAGCUCCAACUCCUGCACAUGUUGGAAAUGAGCUUUUCUCCUCCCCAGCUCUUUUUUCACCCCCUACUCUUGCUUUUCCUUGAGCUAUUUCUUCUGACAAUUCCACACUAGUGAAGAUAGAAGUUGUUCAAGUAGAAAAAAAACUGGGGGAGGGGGGGAUGGGAAAGAAACCUUUUCCAAUUUUAUUUUCCAAAAAAAAUCUGAA
rnacentral:lncRNA from 1 species